CUGAUCUGGAACUUUCCUUCAGGAAUCCAGCCCAAUAUGACGGCCGCUACAGCCGCCAGAAACCCAAUAACUGUGGCCUGCACCUGAGAGAGAAAAAAGGCAACACUAGUUUGGAUACUAACCGCUGUGGAAAGUCUGGAUGCCAGAGUCAUCUCCAGGUUUCCUUUCAGACCCAGGAGAGCAGGAACCAGGAUGAAGAUCUCUGGAUCGUUUGAGGCAGUCAGUCCCUAACAUUCUGCCUAACAUCUCCCUUUGUGUUCCAUGGAUGAAAGAAAAUCAUACGGGUUUGGAACAAGAAGAAGCUCACCUGUACUAUAUCCAACACCACUCCGGCUGACACCGUCCCAAACCCAGCCAGGAGAAACGGCACCAGUAUCUGCAGUGCCAUGGCAAGUGGCGACUCUUUGGGCAUGUUCCUGGUGGUCAAUUGC